AUAAGCACUAUAAAAACAGCCGGGGAGAAAGAGACCAGGAGUAGCUGUUGUUGUGUAAUCCCAUACAAGUGUCAUUAUCUGUUGCCAAAUACUGCAAGAGAAGCUGGUUCCAACUGAUCAUCAUAAAAGCUUUCCCAGCACUUGUGGCUGCAGAGGCCGAGGAAGCAGGGCAACCAGAUGUAUGCGUGGAAAGAUGCAAGAGAAAUCGACUCUUGUGAGAUUCUGGUCAGGACCGCUGAUGCUGCUGGGCUUCCUCUGCCCUCGAAGUUCACCAUGUGGCAUUUCGACACACAUAGAAAUAGGACACAGAGCUCUGGAGUUUCUCCACCUUCAGGAUGGGAGUAUUAACUACAAAGAGCUGUUACUUAGGCACCGGGAUGCGUAUCAAGCUGGAUCCGUGUUUCCUGACUCAUUUUACCCUAGCAUUUGUGAGAGAGGACAAUUCCAUGACGUGUCAGAGAGCACUCACUGGACUCCAUUUCUUAACGCAAGUGUUCACUAUAUCCGGAAGAACUAUCCUCUUCCCUGGGAUGAGGACACAGAGAAAUUGGUAGCUUUCUUGUUUGGAAUUACGUCUCACAUGGUGGCUGAUGUCAACUGGCAUAGCCUGGGUAUCGAACAAGGAUUCCUUAGGACGAUGGCUGCUAUUGAUUUUCACAACUCCUAUUCCGAGGCACAUCCGGCUGGUGAUUUCGGAGGAGAUGUGUUGAGCCAGUUCGAGUUUAAAUUUAAUUACCUCUCACGGCACUGGUAUGUGCCUGUUGAAGAUCUCCUGGGAAUUUAUAAAGAACUCUACGGCCGAGUAGUCAUCACCAAAAGAGCCAUUGUUGACUGUUCAUACCUUCAGUUCUUGGAAAUGUAUGCGGAGAUGUUAGCUAUUUCCAAGCUUUAUCCCACUUAUUCUGGAAAAUCUCCAUUUUUGGUGGAACAAUUUCAAGAAUACUUCCUAGGAGGGCUGGAAGAUAUGGCGUUUUGGUCCACUAAUAUUUACCAUCUGACAAGUUACAUGUUAAAGAACGGGACCAGUAACUGCGACCUCCCUGAGAACCCUCUGUUCAUCACAUGUGGCGGUCAACAAAACAACACCCAGGGCAGCUCAAAAGUAGAGAAAAAUGGUUUUCAUAAAAAUGUGACUGCAGCCCUAACUAAAACUAUUGGAAAGCAUAUAAACUAUACCAAAAGAGGAGUCGUCUUUAGUGUGGAUUCCUGGACCAUGGAUUCCUUAUCCUUCAUGUACAAGUCUUUGGAGAGGAGCAUACGUGAGAUGUUUAUUGGCAGCUCUCAGCCACUGACACAUGUUUCUAGCCCCUCAGCAUCUUACUACUUGUCCUUUCCCUACACAAGGCUUGGUUGGGCGAUGACUUCGGCUGAUCUCAACCAGGAUGGAUACGGUGACCUGGUGGUGGGCGCCCCUGGCUACAGCCACCCAGGCCGCAUUCACGUGGGGCGUGUGUACCUCAUCUAUGGCAACGAUCUGGGCUUGCCCCCUGUCGACCUGGACCUGGACAAGGAGGCCCACGGGAUCCUGGAGGGUUUCCAGCCCUCAGGUCGGUUUGGCUCGGCUGUGGCUGUGCUGGACUUUAACGUGGACGGCGUGCCUGACCUGGCGGUGGGAGCCCCCUCAGUGGGCUCCGAGAAGCUCACAUACACAGGUGCAGUGUACGUCUACUUUGGUUCCAAACAAGGACAACUAUCUUCUUCCCCCAACGUCACCAUCUCUUGCCAGGAUACCUACUGUAACUUGGGCUGGACCCUCCUGGCGGCAGAUGUGAAUGCAGAUAGUGAACCGGACCUGGUGAUUGGCGCCCCUUUUGCUCCAGGUGGAGGGAAACAGAAGGGAAUUGUGGCUGCAUUUUACUCUGGCUCCAGUUACAGUGACCAAGAAAAGCUGAAUGUGGAGGCUGCCAACUGGAUGGUGAGAGGCGAGGAGGACUUUGCUUGGUUGGGGUACUCCCUUCAUGGUGUCAGUGUCAACAACAGGACUUUGCUCCUGGCUGGAAGCCCGACCUGGAAGAACACCAGUAGUCAGGGCGACUUGUUCCGCACUCGCGAUGAGAAACAGAGCCCUGGACGGGUGUACGGCUAUUUCCCGCCAAACUGUCAAAGCUGGUUUACCAUUUCCGGAGACAAGGCAAUGGGGAAACUGGGUACCUCCCUGUCUAGUGGCUACGUGAUGCUGAACGGGACCCGGACCCAAGUGCUGCUGGUGGGGGCCCCGACUCAAGAUGUCAUGUCUAAGGUAUCAUUCCUGACCAUGACCCUGCACCAAGGUGGGAGCACUCAGAUGUAUGAACUGACACCUGACUCACAGCCUUCUCUGCUCAGCACCUUCAGUGGAAACCGCCGCUUCUCCCGAUUUGGUGGCGUUCUGCACUUGAGCGACUUGGAUAACGAUGGCUUAGAUGAAAUCAUCAUAGCAGCCCCGCUGAGGAUCACAGACGCAACUGCGGGACUGAUGGGAGGAGAGGAUGGCCGUGUUUAUGUGUAUAAUGGCAAACGGAUCACUGUGGGUGACGUGACAGGCAAAUGCAAAUCAUGGGUAACUCCAUGUCCAGAAGAAAAGGCCCAAUAUGUACUAAUUUCUCCUGAAGCAGGCUCAAGGUUUGGGAGCUCUGUGGUCACUGUGAGGUCGAAGGAAAAGAAUCAAGUCGUCAUUGCUGCUGGAAGGAGUUCUCUGGGAGCCCGACUCUCUGGGGUGCUUCACAUCUAUAGCCUUGGCCAAGAUUAAAGGUUUCACUCCAUUUUCCUCACCUGUCCCCCUCUCUCAUGCUGAGUCAUCUUCCGGUGAUAACCUGAAGAUCAAAAACAACAUAGUGCUCUGAGGUAUACCAAAGAAGAGUGCCCUGUGAAAUAUAAAUAUUGUCAAAGAUACUUUAUCUUAGAAAUCGAGCAGAUGUAUGAUGGUAUUCACAUUCCACAGCCACACCACAAGGCAUGCUCCAAGACAAGCCCAGCGUGCCUCAUGCUUCUGCGGUCCUUUCAUAGCCACACAUGGAGCUGGGAAACUUCAUUUGUUCUCCUUCAGAUCAGCAACUGGGAAAAGCAUUUUAAUUCAUUUUUACCCGCCUGGUAAAUGGACUCUCUUUACUAAUUUUGUAGUGCAAGAGCUGCUUUAGACUCUAGAAUUGUCUAUGUUGCUUUUGGAGAUAAAUAUAACUAAUGUUCUACUGUGUAACUUUUUAACCUCCAGAAAAUGUAAAAAACAUAGAAGAUAUCAGGUAGCAUAGGUGCUUGAGACCUAGAAAUAUUAGCCAUUUGUUUUAAACUCAACUCUGUGAAAAUAAAAAGGUAACACAAUUUAAAAAUUUACCCUCUUGUUUUAGGAAGCCCACCAGCCAGCCUCUCGGGUGUAGCCAAACAGAUGGAACAUGUGCAGCCUCGUUAAUCUUGCUACACAUUUUCCUGUUUGGUGUGACAUGUCUGUCCUAAAAUCCAAGGAAUGGUCAAAACAGCUAUCAAACAGUAACAGAAUGGAAAUACUUUCAACUAUUUCCAAAAGCUUUAAUUACAGUCAAGCAAAGAGAGAUAGUUUCAUAGGUUGAGGAAGUAAAAUUCUGAAUAAUUGGAACCUAUACAAAGCUAAUAUUGAUGUCUCAUUUCCUUUUUGUAUUCCUUAUAUAAAAACGGGCAGGGACUUCCUUGGCAGUGAAGGGCUUGAAAUGCCACACUUCCACUGCAGGGGGCAUGGGAGCUAUGUUCCCACGGGAGCUGGUUCCCCUGGUCAGGGACCUGAAAGCCUGCAUGGGGCCAGAAAGUAGGAGAAGGAAAGGCGGGGGUGGGGCACAAACAUAAGAGAACACAGUUAUGUCAGAGACUGGUUUAAAGUUUAAGGUUAAUGUAUAUUAUGCUAGCUUUUUAGUCACCUGAGAGUCAGGAAAUUCACAAGAACAUGAUUCCUUACAGGAAGAACUGUGGUUACCUAAUCUCACAACUACGGGUUUGGCAAGUUUCCCGGCUUCAUUUGGCAUGAAGUUGCAGUUUCGUUAACAUGUAUAAAUUAAAUAAAAUCAAUACCACAAUCUAAUCCUGGAUUAAGUUAAUCUCUCCAUGUCUUACAUCUAUAAAAACAGCCUUUUAAGUUUGUAGGAAAUAGAAUUUCGGCCUUUUACAAAGCAAGCACGAAAAUACAAUUAAGUUCCAGUACUAUGACUGCCAUAAUAUUUUUAUCAUCAGACAUUAUAAUUUAAGUGUCAGUGAUUUUCUUUCAAGUCUCUGACUCCAUAAAAUAA